CGCGCGGUGACGUCACUUCCGUCUCCCCCAAUCCCCCCUCAGCAAUGGCGGUUCGGGUCCGGGUUCCCCCCGGGGCCGCCCCGGAGCCGCUCGCGGUUCAGCUCCUGCCCUGCCGCGUGCAGCACGACGGGCCCGCGCCCGUGGCCGCCUUCCUGCGCGCCCGGCCCGGCCCCGGCGGCGAGCUCUGGGCCUCGUUCCGGGGGCGCCGCCUGGGGGGCCGGGAGCUGCCGCUGCCCCCCGGCUACAGCGGGGUGCUGCUGAGGGGGGGCCAGCCCGGGGAGCCCCCCCUGGGCCAGCCCGGGGAGCCCCAGGCCGGGGGGGGGUGACGGUGGCCGGGACCUUCGGGGCCAUCACGGACUGGGGGGGGGACAGCGCCCCGCCCCCGGGGCGGGGCCUGGCCCGGGCCCUGCAGUGGGGACCCCUCGCCCGGGCCCUCCACGCCCCCGUGCCUGAGGACAGCGAUGAGGAGGCGGAGCCAUGACAGGCCACGCCCACCGGAGCCACGCCCCUCCCGUGCCACCAACAGACCCGGCCUGGCUGAGGCCACGCCCACCACCGGAGCCACGCCCACCUCAUUAACAGAGCUGGCCACACCCACUGGGCGGGGCUUAUUUAAUCCAGAGUGCCUGAAGCCCCUCCCAGUGUGGGCGGAGCCUGUGGAAGCCACACCCACUUUAAUUAAAAUACCAGAAUUAUUCACAGGAGGCUCCACCCACAACAAAGCCUGAUUGUGGGUGUGGCCUCACAAAGCCACACCCAGAGUGGGUGGAGCCUCCAAAAGCCACACCCACUGCAAAAAUGGGUGUGGCCUGAUAAGACCCCGCCCCUUUUAUGGUCAAUAAAGGAACUGCAGCGCCAGGUG